UGGGGACGGGGUGCAGCAGGCGCGAAAACUUUGCAAUACACGAAAGUGUGACAGGGCUAUCCCGAGUGCCAUCCGCUGAGGAAGGCUUUUACCCAGUGUAGAAAGCUGGGGGAAUAAGGAGAGGGCAAGACUGGUGUCAGCCGCCGCGGUAAUACCAGCUCUCCGAGUGGUGUGGAUGUUUAUUGGGCCUAAAGCAUCCGUAGCUGGCUGGACAAGUCCCCUGUUAAAUCCACCGAUUUAAUCGUUGGUGUGCGGGGGAUACUGUUUGGCUAGGGGACGGGAGAGGCCGACGGUAUUUUCGGGGUAGGGGUGAAAUCCUAUAAUCCCGGGAAGACCACCAGUGGCGAAGGCUGUCGGCUAGAACGCGCCCGACGGUGAGGGAUGAAAGCUGGGGGAGCGAACCGGAUUAGAUACCCGGGUAGUCCCGGCUGUAAACGAUGCAGGCUAGGUGUUUGGGCGGCCACGUGCCGCUCUAGUGCCGCAAGGAAGCUGUUAAGCCUGCCGCCUGGGGAGUACGGCCGCAAGGCUGAAACUUAAAGGAAUUGGCGGGGGAGCACCACAAGGGGUGAAGCUUGCGGUUUAAUUGGAGUCAACGCCGGAAAUCUCACCGGGAGCGACAGCAGUUUGAAGGCCAGAUUGAAGGUCUUGCCAGACGAGCUGAGAGGAGGUGCAUGGCCGUCGCCAGUUCGUGCCGUGAGGUGUCCUGUUAAGUCAGGCAACGAUCGAGACCCGCGUUCUCUGUUGCUACUGGUUUUGUGCCAGGCACACUGAGGAGACCGCCGCUGAUAAAGCGGAGGAAGGAGCGGGCCACGGCAGGUCAGUAUGCCCCGAAUCUCCCGGGCCACACGCGAGCUGCAAUGGCAGGUACAAUUGGUUCCAACCUCGAAAGGGGAAGGCAAUCCCGAAAGCCUGCCGUAGUUGGGAUCGAGGGUUGAAACCCAUCCUCGUGAACAUGGAAUCCCUAGUAAUCGCGUGUCACUAGCGCGCGGUGAAUACGUCCCUGCUCCUUGCACGAAUUCGCCGA
rnacentral:rRNA from 1 species